rnacentral:tRNA from 1 species
AAAGAAUUAGUUAAAAAAUAACAUAAAUAUGUCAAAUUUAAAUUAUUAUUAUUACAUAAUAUUCUUUU